UACGAAGGGGGCUAGCGUUGCUCGGAAUCACUGGGCGUAAAGCGCACGUAGGCGGCUUUCUAAGUCAGGGGUGAAAUCCUGGAGCUCAACUCCAGAACUGCCCUUGAUACUGGAGAGCUUGAGUUCGGGAGAGGUGAGUGGAACUGCGAGUGUAGAGGUGAAAUUCGUAGAUAUUCGCAAGAACACCAGUGGCGAAGGCGGCUCACUGGCCCGAUACUGACGCUGAGGUGCGAAAGCGUGGGAGCAAACAGGG
rnacentral:rRNA from 1 species